UACGUAGGGUGCGAGCGUUAAUCGGAAUUACUGGGCGUAAAGCGUGCGCAGGCGGUUUCUUAAGCCCGUUGUGAAAUCCCCGGGCUUAACCUGGGAACUGCAUUUGUGACUGGCAAGCUAGAGUAUGGCAGAGGGGGGUAGAAUUCCACGUGUAGCAGUGAAAUGCGUAGAGAUGUGGAGGAAUACCGAUGGCGAAGGCAGCCCCCUGGGCCAAUACUGACGCUCAUGCACGAAAGCGUGGGGAGCAAACAGG
rnacentral:rRNA from 1 species